rnacentral:rRNA from 1 species
UACAGAGGGCCCGAGCGUUGUUCGGAUUCACUGGGCGUAAAGGGUGCGUAGGUGGUGGGAUAAGUCGGAUGUGAAAUCUCGGAGCUUAACUCCGAAACUGCAUUGGAAACUGUCCUGCUAGAGGGUUGGAGGGGGGACUGGAAUACUUGGUGUAGCAGUGAAAUGCGUAGAUAUCAAGUGGAACACCGGUGGCGAAGGCGAGUCCCUGGACAACACCUGACACUGAGGCACGAAAGCUAGGGGAGCAAACAGG